AACGAACGCUGGCGGCAUGCCUAACACAUGCAAGUCGAACGAGACCUUCGGGUCUAGUGGCGCACGGGUGCGUAACGCGUGGGAACCUGCCCUUAGGUUCGGAAUAACUCCCCGAAAGGGGUGCUAAUACCGGAUAAUGUCUUCGGACCAAAGAUUUAUCGCCUUUGGAUGGGCCCGCGUUGGAUUAGCUAGUUGGUAGGGUAAAAGCAUACCAAGGCGACGAUCCAUAGCUGGUCUGAGAGGAUGAUCAGCCGCACUGGGACUGAGACACGGCCCAGACUCCUACGGGAGGCAGGAGUGGGGAAUAUUGGACAAUGGGCGAAAGCCUGAUCCAGCAAUGCCGGGUGAGUGAUGAAGGCCUUAGGGUUGUAAAGCUCUUUUACCCGGGAUGAUAAUGACAGUACCGGGAGAAUAAGCUCCGGCUAACUCCGUG
rnacentral:rRNA from 1 species